AUGUGUAAAUGCUGUCACAAUGUUCCCAGGAAAAAAAAGCUGGAACUCGAUUCAGCUAUCGGUGUUGAUGAGCAUGCAAUUGACAGUUUUGCCAUAAAGAUGGGUUCACUGAAGGCAGGGAGAUCUUUGUAUAUGGAAGGUGGUGGAAAUGAUCUCUGCCUUUUCUCCUUGUUUUUCCAUUGGUUGAUUGUGGUCAAAGUCAGUCGCAGAGUCAGAAAGAUUAUGCUUAAAGAAAUGAGAUAUGCGAAAUACCAUAUCAAGACCACCUGUUGCAAUCAAAGACUUGAAGCCUGA